UACGAAGGGUGCUAGCGUUGCUCGGAAUCACUGGGCGUAAAGGGCGCGUAGGCGGGUUUUUAAGUCCGGGGUGAAAGCCCCCAGCUCAACUGGGGAAGUGCCGUGGAUACUGGGGGCCUCGAGGGAGGUAGGGGCGUGCGGAACUUCCGGUGGAGCGGUGAAAUGCGUAGAUAUCGGAAGGAACACCGGUGGCGAAAGCGGCGCGCUGGACCUCUUCUGACGCUGAGGCGCGAAAGCCAGGGGAGCAAACGGG
rnacentral:rRNA from 1 species